rnacentral:rRNA from 1 species
UACGGAGGGUGCAAGCGUUAUCCGGAUUUACUGGGUUUAAAGGGUGCGUAGGUGGACAGGAAAGUCAGUGGUGAAAUCUUCGAGCUUAACUCGGAAACUGCCAUUGAUACUAUUUGUCUUGAAUACUUUGGAGGUAAGCGGAAUAUGUCAUGUAGCGGUGAAAUGCUUAGAUAUGGCAUAGAACACCAAUUGCGAAGGUAGCUUACUAUACAGUUAUUGACACUGAGGUGCGAAAGCGUGGGGAGCAAACAGG